CCAGACUCCUACGGGAGGCAGCAGUGAGGAAUAUUGGUCAAUGGUCGGGAGACUGAACCAGCCAAGCCGCGUGAGGGAUGAAGGUACAGAGUAUCGUAAACCUCUUUUGUCAGGGAACAAAGGCGGGGACGCGUCCCCGGAUGAGUGUACCUGAAGAAAAAGCAUCGGCUAACUCCGUGCCAGCAGCCGCGGUAAUACGGAGGAUGCGAGCGUUAUCCGGAUUUAUUGGGUUUAAAGGGUGCGUAGGCGGGCUGUUAAGCAGGCGGAAAAAGCCGGGGCCCCACCCCCGGCGAGCCGUUGAAACUGGCUGUCUUGAGAUGUCGAGAGGUAUGCGGAAUGCGCAGUGUAGCGGUGAAAUGCUUAGAUAUUGCGCAGAACUCCGAUUGCGAAGGCAGCAUACCGGCGGCGAUCUGACGCUGAGGCACGAAAGCGUGGGUAUCGAACAGGAUUAGAUACCCCGGUACGC
rnacentral:rRNA from 1 species